rnacentral:rRNA from 1 species
UACAGAGGUCCCAAGCGUUGUUCGGAUUCACUGGGCGUAAAGGGUGCGUAGGUGGCGAGGUAAGUCGGAUGUGAAAGCUCGGAGCUCAACUCCGAAAUGGCAUUGGAAACUACCUGGCUUGGGGGUUGGAAGGGGGACUGGAAUUCUCGGUGUAGCAGUGAAAUGCGUAGAUAUCGAGAGGAACACCAGUGGCGAAGGCGAGUCCCUGGACAAUACCUGACACUGAGGCACGAAAGCUAGGGGAGCAAACAGG